rnacentral:lncRNA from 1 species
CCCGCCCUUCCUCUAUGCCUCUCCCCUCUCUCCUUCCUUCCCCUCCUCCAGAUUCCCUGCCCUAUUUCUCUGCUGUGUGAACAGGAGCCUGUUUUGGAUAAAUGUGAGGACCGGAAGAGGCCUUUGUAAUCAACCACUCUUUCUAACUAUGCACUUAAGAGAUUAAACAGCUCUAUGUUUGACAACUCACUUAAUUUGACAAGCAACUUGCCUCUCCUUGGAACUCAAAGUGGGUGCACUGACUUGACAAGUUCAAGGACAAAGUAUGAUCUGACCCAAGUGGAAGAAAUGAUGCUCCUACCUUGUUGGAGGAAGGGGGGAGGAAGAAAGAGAAAGAGAAAAGUAAGGAAAAGAUUACAAAUGGAAUGGCUCAGUGAGGGUAACUUCCCAACAAGAAGACUACACAGGUGACAAGAUCUGUUACAUGAUUUGGACCUGGAUAUCUGACUAAGAAGUCCAUGCUCUCAAACCCUGGAGAACCUCAUAAGACAGAAAAUGGAGGGGAUGGAAUAGGCUGAGAUGGACAGAGGUGAACAGAGGAAGAAACCGAAAGCCUGACUCAAAAAGAGACAGACAGAGGAUGGGAAUGGCAGGGAGAACAGACAGGAGAUACUGGGAGCCCCGAGGAGACAGUUAAUGAGGUGAGCUGCUCCAGGUCACCUUGCCAAUGACUUCGGCAGUUAAGUUGAGGAGGGAGGAAAGUGAAAAGACCAGGUACCAAGAGAGGAAAGGGCCAAGCUGGACACUGAGAGUAGCAAGACCCUCCUCAGGAAAUUCCCCACUUCUGGAAAUGGAGAUGUGGACAACUCAGUUAAGGAGAGGUUUGAAUUCUCUAUAAGGGAAGCAGUAAUAAAGACAGCAUUUCAAAUCCAAGAAGUAAUGACUUAAGGCAAAACACACCUCAGAACUGCAAAAUCUGACUGAGACCUACAGGGUUAAUUAAGUCAGGCAUUCAGCUGGUCAAGAAAAAGGAGGAGGAGGAGGAGGAAAGAGAGAGAAAGAGGGAAAGAGGAAGAGGAGCAGGAGGAAGAGGAAGGAGAAGGAGGAAGAGAAAAAUCAGUAAAGUCAAGCUGAAGCAAGGCAAGAGAAGAUACUUACUGCUACGACAUUGGAAACCCAUAACCAGUGUAGCUUACACUGGGCCAAGAGCAGGAAUUGGG